rnacentral:lncRNA from 1 species
CACCUCUCGGCCAGGGUGAAGCCAAUGGAGUAGGCGGGGCAUUUUGCGUGCUACAUUCUAAGAAGUAUUGGUUGUGAUGUGAUGGGAAGAACACAGUCAGUCCUGUAUACAGCACUAAAGCUGAUGAAUGAUCUCUUCUAUCUUACACUAGCCAAAGUGAAGUCUGAAAGAUGUGAAGAAAUGCAAUACAUUUGCACAUUGGCACAUUGCCCUGCAGAGGACUGGCAACACCAGAAAUGAUGGAGACAGGAUACAUCAACCUGUAUCACUGAAGACGAUGUGGAGCAGAGCCUUUGUGGUCCUAAGAAACAUGUAUAAGAUAAAAACUUUUGUGGUUUUUCAAUCAUUUGAGGUUUUAGCAUUGUUCAUUGUAUUAACACAACUUGCCUAUUCUGACUGCUAAGGUUGUUCAGUGGGUUAUUCAUAAAGGCAAAAUGAGGUUGUGAGCCACAGAAAGAGAGGACAGGAUGGUUCCAUGGUGUCCCCAGCUUAUUUUUU